GUGGGGAAUAUUGGACAAUGGGCGAAAGCCUGAUCCAGCCAUGCCGCGUGUGUGAAGAAGGUCUUCGGAUUGUAAAGCACUUUAAGUUGGGAGGAAGGGUAGUAACCUAAUACGUUGCUACUUUGACGUUACCGACAGAAUAAGCACCGGCUAACUUCGUGCCAGCAGCCGCGGUAAUACGAAGGGUGCAAGCGUUAAUCGGAAUUACUGGGCGUAAAGCGCGCGUAGGUGGUUCGUUAAGUUGGAUGUGAAAGCCCCGGGCUCAACCUGGGAACUGCAUCCAAAACUGGCGAGCUAGAGUACGGUAGAGGGUGGUGGAAUUUCCUGUGUAGCGGUGAAAUGCGUAGAUAUAGGAAGGAACACCAGUGGCGAAGGCGACCACCUGGACUGAUACUGACACUGAGGUGCGAAAGCGUGGGGAGCAAACAGGAUUAGAUACCCUAGUAGUCC
rnacentral:rRNA from 1 species